UGGGGAAUCUUGGACAAUGGGCGCAAGCCUGAUCCAGCCAUGCCGCGUGAGUGAUGAAGGCCUUAGGGUUGUAAAGCUCUUUUUGCCCGGGACGAUAAUGACGGUACCCGGAGAAUAAGUCCCGGCUAACUUCGUGCCAGCAGCCGCGGUAAUACGAAGGGGACUAGCGUUGUUCGGAAUCACUGGGCGUAAAGCGCACGUAGGCGGAUUUGUAAGUCAGGGGUGAAAUCCCGGGGCUCAACCUCGGAACUGCCUUUGAUACUGCGGAUCUCGAGUCCGAUAGAGGUGAGUGGAAUUCCUAGUGUAGAGGUGAAAUUCGUAGAUAUUAGGAAGAACACCGGUGGCGAAGGCGGCUCACUGGAUCGGUACUGACGCUGAGGUGCGAAAGCGUGGGGAGCAAACAGGAUUAGAUACCCUCGUAGUCCCUGAGCGGGCUGGCAAGGCGCAU
rnacentral:rRNA from 1 species